ensembl:lncRNA
GGAGGAAUGAGCAUAGUUCCUGUUUCGGCUGAUCCAGUACUGCAUUGUUUGUAGUAGGGAUAGGCUCCUAAUUAUACACUGUUCCUAUUCUAUUGCUUUUUAUAGAAGUGUCAGCUUUUCUUUACUAGUAUGUGAAUGCAACAUGUGUACAUUUUAUAUAGCAUAUCUUAAUACUUUAUACAUACUGUGAUACAGCUGUGUCCACAUAUACAUAUAAUACAAACACCACAAGCCUUAUGUUAAUGAACCUGCACUGGCCAGUCAAUCAGCACUCAUUAAAUCUAAUGAGCUUCAUGCUCAUACACACAGGGCUCACCAAUAGCCAAACGUACAAAAGCUACUGAUUACUUAAUGAACAGGUUAAAUACAUGGCUCAAAACUGCUCCAGACAAAAGUGUGGCGAGCAUGGCUGGAUGAGAAAAGCAAUCCCCAGACCUAGUCAAGCUAGCUAGACUAACCUAACUAUCUUCUGAGACAUACCGGGCUCGAGGCUAACAUGCCCCCUCCCCAGGGUAGCCUCUCCGCAGACUAAUCUCUCCAGGGAGUGUGAAAACAAGUUCUAACAAACAGGCCAAAACAACCAUGCUCACUUCCUUAAAUUAGAGCAACUGACCUCCAUGAAAAGCAAGAGUGAGUCUUCCAGCCAUACUUCCCCAGCACUGACUAAAGUACAUUCAAAAGUGCAGCAAAGUUUGCAAUCGCCAAUGCCAGACAUAUAGAAACAGACAAAAUGAGUUCCAUCAAGGAACUUCACAAUUUCAAAAUUUGCGGCUCAAGUCAGCAAUUAAAUGUGCAAAGAAGCCAAGUUGGUCCACAAAAGUGCAGAUAAAGCCACACAGCUUUGGGCAGUGGACUACCCUGAACAUAUACAAGUACAACAUUAUUCUUAAUGGGAAUAAUAACCAGACUUCAAUAUAAGAACAAUGUGCAAAUGCAAACAAAACUGGGACUGCUGGCAAUAAGGUGUUCAUCAGGGUCAAGGUGAUCAAAGAUCUUUAAACGCAAUGGGCCAAUUACAGUGCUGCUAAUGACUGAGCAGCCAAACAAGUAGCCAUGAAAGUGGGUUCCACUCCCACUUGACAAAAUGGCUACUGCAAAGAGGUGAACAAAGAUGAAUACAAAGUGACUUGACAAAUUUGAGACCCCCACCACUUACAAAUAUCAUCUGAUCUAUGGAGUGACUACAUCCCACAUACAAGGGUCACAAGACAAUUUACUGUCAAAACAAACAGUAAUACACAAGUGGCUCAACAAAAAUGGACUGCAACUACCACGACACAAAGGGACACAAUGUAGUUACCACUACAAACAAAUGUUGCCAACUUACUCUAAAGUUGAAACCAAACGUGACCCAACAAUGUGGAGUGCAAGCACCACAAAAGAGUCCACUACCAGUUACUGCACACAAAAGUCUUCCUCAGUUAACAAUCUUACACACAUGCACUCACUUCAUGGAUAUUCUAUCCCGGACGAGCCCCCAAUUUGUUACGCCCCACUUCUAGUUGGCCGUAAAAGGGCUAACAACAAACCACCCUUGACCCCAAAUGUCAAAGGACACCUUUUACAAAAACCCAACCAGUGGGAUUUAUUUACAUAAACAUGAAAAGGACACAACAUUAAGAUAUACAACAAAGUCCAAAACAUAAAGACAAUACAAAAGAGGUGGCCCGACCAGCCAGCAGUCCCAUGACCAAAAGCAUCCCCAUGGGAAGGGGAAUCUGUCGCCUUUAACUCCGGUCCUGACGAGCGGUCCAGGUGCUCCUAAUCAGCUGCACUGAUGCAGCACACCUGAGCAUGGGCUGAGACAUGUCAACAGAACAGGGACAAACAAAGCAAGCCCCCUUUUGAGGAUGAACUGUGCACGUUUAACUUGAUUGUGCCCCUGCACCACCCAAAGACCAAUGCACUGCCACUGCAAGGCCAGUGGGGUGUAGAGGGCGUAACAGACCACCUUCUAUAAAUUAUGAAUUUAGCUGUUGUUGGACAAUGGAGACAGUUGAUCAAUGUUAGGACAUUGAAGAGCGGGUCUGCAUGUUCUAGUAGGAUCAAUGCUCAUUUUCAUUUUCUCUUGAAGGCCAAGAGCAACCCAGAGACAGUACAUAAAGCAGGCAUUAGAUGCAUAAACUCCUCGAGGUAUAUGACUAUUGUACGGGGAAUAGCCCCCCUGGUGUCCCGCCUCCCCCCACCAGGGGGCGCCCUCCUUACAGCGUAUUCCCAGAAUGCAAAGCGAGCCGCAUACCGCUUCUAUUAAAGCUUCAGACUUCCGUCGGAUCCUUCCAUUCCUUCUCAAUGUGGUGGAGUGACUUCAUGCUCUUGGUAAGAUUCCUAUUGUGUUAUAUUUAAAUGAAUUGGUGGUGUUGGUUCUGUUGUGUUAGAAUAAGACUAUUUGAUUAUAACUUGGUUCUGCUCUUACUUUUGCUAUAUGUGCAAUGUGUAUAUAUAUAAAGUAGGCCACGUGCGGGAAGUAUUGUACAAAUGUCAGAGAAUCGAGUAAUUUAAUUUCUGAUCUUGAGGACUUUAUUCAUAAUAAAGGGAGAGCUUGAGAAGUUUAUUCUGUUGGCUUUAAAUAAAAUGGCAUGAAUCUGCCGAGGCUAGCCCACUAAGGGUUAGUCCGGUACAGGCCUCACCAUGCGGGCCCCCACCGACCAACACUCAAGUCAGCUGCCCGGGUCAUAGUGCUCGGCUCAGUGUUACAGUGCUGGAAGAGGAAGCCCUGUAACCGCGACGGUUCUGCCGCCUCUGUUUUAGAGCUGGCUCUGCCGAAAUGUUGCAAGGUUCGACCCAACGAGAGUGGCCUGAUCCGAUACCCCGCUGGUCAGGCCUAGUGUCGGGUCACACAUCCCUAACCCUUGAGCAUGUGCGCAUGAAAAGAAAGUCACUAAUAUUCGGUCAGUUGUUUAAACUAUACGAUUGUUUUUGAAUUCCAUCUAGUCAUUGUAACGUUUCGAGCCGAACCAUUCAUAUGAAUGUGCCUCGCUAACUCCUGUUUUCCCCUCAAUGCAGGCAUGAUGUCGAAGUUUGCUUUUCCAAUGGUAAUUCGACAUGUCCGUCCCAGUACAUUAAUACUUCAAUUUAAGCAGAAUUGAUAUGCUGUGAUGAUUGCAAAAAAACACAUCAUGCUGACUAAUACUGUGGUUAUCCCGAUACUGGUGUUGCUUCAGGACCUGAUGGUUGGCUGAGGGUUGCCUGUGGGGUCUUGAUGAGACUAAUUUGUGCAGGCUGCCAAUCUGCUCUGCUAAGAUGCCAAUCAACGGCCCAAAGACGUCAACCAAAGCAGGCUGUCAUCUGCUGCGCUGGUUCUUUUGCUUCAACCAGUUGACCAAGGAGGUCAUGGUAGACGACAUGAUGGGUCACUGUGUAUAGCGGACUGCAAAGUUAAUUACUUGAUUGCAGGCGUAAUGCCCCAAAGACCACCAGAAUCAGGCUGUCAUCUGCUGCGCUGGUUCUUUUGCUUCAACCAGUUGACCAAGGAGGUCAUGGUAGACGACAUGAUGGGUCACUGUGUAUAGCGGACUGCAAAGUUAAUUACUUGAUUGCAGGCGUAAUGCCCCAAAGACCACCAGAAUCAGGUGUGGAAUGACUCUUGCUCCUGGGACUUCUCUGGAAUAUAUUCCAGGUUCCUAUUAAUUCAUGCUCUGUUGAAAUAAAAAUGUUUUAACUUGAGUCUUAAUUUUGUCACUCUACUGGUAGUGUUUUGGUCAUUGGGCAAACCAAAUAAUUAAAGGUGACGAAGCAGGCAAUGAUCUGACAUGGAUAGAGCCAUUAAUUCCAUUGGCUUUACAACAAGUUAACGUGACCAAUGGCUUCAAUACACAAGUCACUGGGACGAGGGUCCUCAAGCUGGGCUCUUUGUGUGUGUGGAUCGUGUUCGACUAUUGCAAGUGAUUUUCUCCACGAGGGUGUAAUCAGUUUAGC